rnacentral:rRNA from 1 species
CACGUAGGGUGCGAGCGUUGUCCGGAAUUAUUGGGCGUAAAGAGCUCGUAGGCGGUGUGUCGCGUCGGCCGUGAAAACCUGCAGCUUAACUGUGGGCGUGCGGUCGAUACGGGCAUCACUGGAGUUCGGCAGGGGAGACUGGAAUUCCUGGUGUAGCGGUGAAAUGCGUAGAUAUCUGGAGGAAUACCGGUGGCGAAGGCGGCAUCCUGGACCGGCAUUGACGCUGAGGAGCGAAAGCUAGGGGAGCAAACGGG